rnacentral:lncRNA from 1 species
UUUUUUCUUUUUUGGCUGCACCAAGAGCAUGUAGAAAUGCCUGGGCCAAGAAUCGAAACAGCACUGAGAUAGCAAGCCAAAUUGUGGCAGUGACAACCCUGGAUCCUUAACUUGCUGGGCCACAAAGGAAUUCCUAAAUUCAAUCUUCAACUAACUUCAGUCUUGAAAUUUUGUUGUAAAGUCAAAACAAACAAAUGGUCACUUAUAACUUGUCUAAGCUACUAAAUUACUUGUGGGGCUUUGGGAUCUAGGCCUGCUUGAUCCUGAAAUGUUGGGCAGGGUGUGUGGUCUAUAGAUAUUUUAACAGCCCCAAGAGCUAGGAGAGCGUAUAAGAUGAACAGGAGUUCCUGUUGUGGCUCAGUGGGUUAAGGAUCCAGUAUUACUGCAAAAUGCAGCAUAGGUCACAGAUGUGGCUCAGAUUCAUGUUGCCAUGGCCUCAGUUGCAGCUCCAAUUUGACGCCUGGCCUGGGAAAUUCUAUACAUCGCAAGAAAAAAAAAAAGAUGAACAGACAUUUCACAAUGGCCGGGUUGGAAUUAGGCAAAGGAUAAAGUGGAAAUGGAGCAGAGGGCCAUGUGCAAAUUCCCACUUGGAGUUUUGUGAACUCUGGGAUGAUAGGACUCCUGCCAGAGGUGGUGCCAAGGCCAGAGUUGCGCUGUGGCCUGAGCUGGCACAGUAAGUGGCCAAGCUGGCCUGGGAAGUAAUAAUCAGCUGCAUUUCUGACCUAUGGUGACUGGGCUGAGCCUUCCCUUUUCUGGAUAUCAUCCAACCCCUAGGGGGCGCCAAAGUAGGUAUCCAUACAGUUUGGGGGGUGGGGGAGCAAGAGCGUUGACAUUGAAUCUGUUCCCAGAACCCGCUAAGUACAGACAGUGAGCUCCAAUGAUAAAAAAUAUCUAAUUUGGGCCCUAUUUUUUUCUUCCUUUAAAAAACAACAAAAAUGACAGCCACACCUGCAGCACAUGGAAGGUCCCGGGCUAGGGGCUGGAGCUGCAGCUGCUGGCCUGCGCAACAGCCAUGGCAACACCAGAUCUGAGCAGCCAUGACCUAUGC